rnacentral:lncRNA from 1 species
AAAAAAAAAAAAGGAGUUACAGCAGGAAGUUGAUAUUAAGUUCAAGGCAGCGUUUAGCAUUUCACUGUAUAAGCUCAUUGUAAGUUCAAGGCAACAUUUCACUGUAUAAGCUCAUUGUAAGUUCAAGGCAACAGUUCACUGUAUAAGCUCAUUGUAAGUUCAAGGCAACAGUUCACUGUAUAAGCUCAUUGUAAGUUCAAGGCAACAGUUGCAUAUGGCUGUGCUUUAUCAUGCUGCACACCUCUGGCCUCAUCCUUGGACCUUACCUAGAAUGCUUUUCCUUGAUCACUAACUUGUUUUAAGUCUAUUUUCUUCCUAGUGCAACUUAUGUGUUUGUGAUAGAGAACUCUAUUUUCAGCUUUUUAUUCUACAGGGGUAUUAACAUUACUUGAAUCAAUUCAGGAGUUCUAUAAAAUCAUUAUCAGAAAUUAUGACAUCAAUUUAUCUAAACAUCACUAUUACAUGAAAGUACACGUCCAUAUUGGUCUGCAGGAAAUUUGCCCUGUAUGGUGGGCUGAUGCCCAGGAAUCAUUAGGCUAUGUAAUAGUGGCAGGAAAGGCACAUCAGCAGGAAGAAGCAAUCCUGGGAUGAAGUCUCUGGGGUUCAUGCCACUCAGAGUGCACCCAUCACAGCCAUGCAAAGGGGUGGCCCAUCUCCAGAGAAUACACUUGCCUGCCAUAGCCUUCCCUACAUGGCUUGUGCCAAACCUGGAACUCAGCUGAGCCUAUGGAGGACAUUUUUCAUUCAAACCACCACAAAUGGUCCAUAUGGAUAAAUUAAUUGCAGUAUUCUCUCUCAAGCAAAUUGGCCACACUACACAGACAUUAGACGUUGGCUUGUAGCUAGCUGUUACAAGUUAUGAGGUGAGACAGAAUGUGUUUCUUCCAAGUAGAAGAGAUAAGAGCUUUGGAGGGUUUCCACAGGUACCCUUUGUCCAUCCAUUUAACAGUGUCUCAAAUUACACUAAUACUUCAGUAACUAUGAGAAUUUAAAUGGUGGUACAAUUUUCAGAGAAGAUGGGAGCUAAAUAAUGUAUCCUCAGAUUUGUUGUGCUAAAAGAUAAUCUGAACUCCCAUGCCCACAUCCCAAAUCACUACACAAGACAUGGUAUGCAUUUUACUUAGGGAUUAGUUUGUCAGGCCCUUGUACAGAUAACAUUUUUUUUAUCUCUUUCCAGAUUCAUCUCCGUGCUUUGAACUUGUGUGGAAAUUAGUCCUUUUGGAACCGUAAAGAUCGAGAUACCAAGUUAAUGGCCACUCGUGAAGCUCCAGAAGAACAUCAAAGAAUUCAAUGAUGCAGACCACUUUAUGGAAGUCAAAGAUGAAAUACUGGCUUCAGACGACUUCUGCUUCAGCACCUGCCACAAACUUCCGCAAAGGUAAAGAGAAGAGAAUCAAAUCGCAUUAUAUGCUGGAGAUGCAGGACAAGUAAACACAGCAAACAUGUUGAGCAGAUCAAGUCUCAUACAGCUACAACACAGAAGCUGACGUCCUUGUCUGUGCCACUGAGCUAGGAGAUUAACUCCAACUUCUAAUACGGUGUAUCUGAAACUGGAUUCAGAUUUGAACACCUCUUCAAGAGGUAGUCACUGAUCCUUGAGGUGAGUGGGACCCUGAUCCUCCCCAGUGUCCAAGUUUCACAGCAGAAUAACCUUGAAGACCUUUUCUUUAAACCCUCACUAGAAGCGCUUGUUGGUAGAAGU